GAUGGUAAGAGAAAAUCAAAACAAUCAAAACAGCAAAGAACAUGUUAGCACAAUAAGUUCAAAGAAUCGGGAAGAACAUUCGAAUAUGGAUAUGGUAACAUACCCUUAAUAGCCUCAAGAAAAUCAUUGAAUCCCUUAUCGGUAAGGCCAUUUAUAGCUUUAAUUUUGUAUAAGUAUGUGGUGGCCGAUAGCCUUGUGUAUUUUGUACACCCUGUAUAUAAAGGCAUUGGCCCUCAUCCAAGUUCUUUUUGUAAUAGUCCUCCACACUUUCACGUGUUAACUUUCUAGCUUAUAAAUUUUGUAUUCCAUUGAAUUCUGACUUCAUUGAAAAAUUCCUCUUGAUGGAGAAGUCACCAAGAGAGAGUGAAAGAAAGAAUGCUUACCAUGAGACUACAGGUCUGAGAGCGAAGAGAUGAGACGGAAUGAAGAAAAAAAUAAUAUCAAUUUUGGGUUUAGGGUGGGUAAGAAGAUAUUAGAAAAAAUCAGGAAAAAAAAAAGACAUUGGAAAAAAGUGCUGAAAAAUUAAGGCGCCAAUAUAAAAAUUGGUGAAAAAGGCGCCACACGGAAAAAAAUUGGGGAAAGAAAUUCUAGAUCUAUGACGCAGACUACACGCCAUGUCAAAUAUAAUUCUAUGACGUGUAGGAAACAUCUUUAAGUUACAGACGCCUCGACGACUUUGUUAAGCUAUAAACCUGUUAAUGACACGGACCAAAUGUCGUCUAAAACCACUAAAAUCC
rnacentral:lncRNA from 1 species